GCCUUCCUUCCUUCCCUCUUCUCCUCUUUUCUCCUUCUCCUUCCUAAAGAUCUCCUUUAGGUAGUGUAUUCCUGAACUCACAGGGCACUGAUGACCAAGCCUGGGGAGUGAAUGUCCAUACUUCUGAGUCCUGUCUGGAACCAGCAACUAAUGUUAUCUAGAAAAUGCAUCAGAAGUGCCGUAAGCUGAGCCUGCUGCUUGAGUGUUCCCUGAGCUCCUUCCCAAAACCUCUUGAGUCAUCACUGACUGAGGGGAAGGAAGGGUGUGGGGUGGGGCCACCCCAAAGCUUGUGUAAGAACCUUGUGACCUACAGCUGUGGGGGAACAAAGGAACCCUCAGGCUUCUGCCCCAGCUGCACAGGGUUCUUGGUUCCUAGGGCUCAUCCAGUUGUCCUAGGGAACAUAAUCCUAUCUUUAAAAUGGUAGAAGCGGUACCUUUGCAGAUGACUUGCUUGAAGAGUUUUAAACCCUGGCUUAAAAGAAUGGAUUCCCUCCCCCACUAGGGUUAGGCCCAUGGAAUUUUGCAAUCAUACUUUCUCGGCCUGGGUCAUGAUGCUGUCCUUCUGCAUUUGGAGAAGCCUCACUCGAAGUGAGGAUACAACUGAGGAAAAUGUGGCUUUUCCAGUGAAAGGCUGAAGCAACCCUCUGGCUGGUUGUGCCUUGGACCUCAGCAUUCUCUGAAUGACAAUAAAGAGUUUGUGCUGCCUUUUUUCCAUUUGCCAUUCCCCACCCCAUCCCAGAUCCAUUCUCCAAACUUGUCCACCCUGUUUUACACUCUAGGAGGCCAAUCUCUAAUGGAGACUUGGCCGAAAUCUCAGGGUCAGAGGAAGGAGAAGCCGGAUUAUUAUUCCUUCCCUAGCCUAAACGGGUGCUCCUGGGCCAGCUAUAAUAUUUAGUUCUGUGGCUCCACAGCUGGAGGCCACCCUUCCAAGUGCCUGGAAAAGGUGGCAGCCCCCUACCCAGGAGGUCCUGCCUGUGUGGAUGAUAAUACCUAUUUGGUCCAAAUUCAUAAUGGCCUUAGGCAAAGCUGUGAAGGUCCCGCCCUUUCUCUUUUUGGCAGCGUCAGUCCAUCAUUCUUUCAGGCCCUUCUCAACAUUUAGCUUUGCUGCCUCACAAACGCUGUCCUGAAAAGGGCUGGAUAAUUCAUUCUCAUUAAAAGGUAAAUGACUAUCCCUGCUGUCCUUCUUCUAGGGAUGUUUUCUUUGAAAAGCUGAAGUCCAAGGAAUGAAGCACUCAUUGUAGAGUUUCAAAGAGGAGCUGAGUGUGGGAUUCAAUUUCCAGUCUUCUGAAAUCCUUCCUGUCUUUUCAACUUACCAGCCUUUGCUGGAGGAGGGUGCAUUCGAAGUGCGUGGAGAGGCUCAUGCUGGGCUUUCCAGUACUCAGACUGCAAGAGCUUUGGUCUAAGGAGGGGGAGAGGAGAAGUCCUGGGAUAGAAGUGUUCAUUGUGGUAGAGAGGAGGCUGGGAGCUAAAUGUCCAGCAGCCUCCAGAAUGCUUAAGAACAACAGUCUUAGGCCCUGCACUUCCUUCGGCCCCCACCCCCGCACUUUCCAUCAGCCAAGGCACCCUCCUUCCCCCAAAACAAGUCUCGUUCUGGAGAGUUCCAAGGAUGGUGGAAGGGAACAUCAAGAAGAGCCUAGGCCCUAAGAACUCUAUGCUUCAUUUACAUUUUAACAUCCAUCAGUGGGACUUAAUAUUAAUAGCUCUCCCUUAUUGAAAGCUCGGCUGUAAGUUAAGGGCAGGGACUGGGUUUAUAUGUCCUUCAUCUGUGUAUCUUUUAAACAUAGCUCAGUGAUUUGCUCAAGAAACACGAGUCAAGGCCUGGCACAGUGGCUCAUGCCUGUAAUCCUAGCACUUUGGGAGGCCGAUGCAGGAGGAUCACUUGAGCCCAGGAGGUGGAGACCAACCUGGGCAAGAUGGUGAGACCCCCAUUUCUAUUUUUUAAAAAUCUUAAUUAGCCAGGCAUGGUGGCCCAUACCUGUUGUCCCAGCUACUCAGGAGGCUGAGGCCAGAGGAUCCCUUGGGCCCAAGAGUUUGAGAAUACAGUGAACUGUGAUCACACCACUGCACUCCAACCAGGACAACAGAGCAAGACCCCCAUCUCUAAAAAUGUAUAAUACAAUUAAAAAUAAAGAAAUACAAGUUGACUAGAUGAACACAGGAUCUCACUUAAUUCUCACAAGAACCUUGUCAGGUACUUCCUAGCAUCAUUUCCAUUCUGCGGAUGAGGUAGUUACGGCUUAGAAGGGUUAAAUAAUUGGCCCAAGGGUACCCUAUUGGUGAGGGGUAGGGCUGGUGUUCUAGUCAGUUCUGACUGACUUCAAGCCCAGACUCUAAGGCAAGACACUCAACUGCAUUUAGACAAUGCCAGUUUGGACAAAGGGUGGUCUUGCAUCUCCCUUUUUGUAGCAAUUCUCUCACAGAAGUAUUUUUAUAACUCUGAGAAAUCUUUAUAUACAUUUCUUUAUAUCCUUUAUAUUUUCUCUCCAGGUUAAGCCAGCACUUAACACCACAUGAAAUUGAAGUUCAUGGAAUUCAAAGACGAGGCCCAAGAGGCAGCAGCAAAGGUCAGCAUCUCCACCACCCCAUCAGGUCUUGCCCAUGUUGACCCAGGUGCUGGGACAGGAGGCACACACUGAACUUACUGCUCCCGUUGACUUCUCAUCUGGUUCCAGGUCUCCACUUUCCACCCCUUUUCCUCCACAGACUAAAAGCUAAGUCAUUCUGGGUGUGACGUGUGUCUAGAAAGAGUGUGUCUGGCUUCUUGUUUUUACCACAAAGUGUGCCUGAGAUAUAGGUCUGUGCCGCCAUUUUGGCUCUCAAGCCAGGGAACCUCUUGGUGUUCUCAUUUUGGAAUUUUAUUCUGGAAAGUUCGGAGGACCCAGGGACUCCUUACUGUGAUACCCGAUUCUCUGGCUUUAAUCAAUUAUUCAUUAUUCACUCAGGUACUUAAUGAACAACUCUCAAUAUCUAAUUUUGUUCCAGGCUUUGAAGAGGGUCAGAAGGAUGGAAGACUUGGCCCCUCCUCUCUAGUAGUGUACACCAUGCCUGAGGAGACCACAUAUCAACAUGGAACAGCCCCGGUUAGGGCACAAGGGCGCUGGGGCCUGGACAGUCAUGCCAUGGGAGCUCAGUGGGAGGCUGGACUUAGGCUGAGGUGCGUGGGGAGAGCUUCCUGGACAGCUGGGAUCUAAGGAUGCUUAAAUCAUGGACAGGAAAGCAGCUGCAGCCUAACGAAGAGCAGGGGUGUUAGGAGGCUUCCCUAAAGUUCUGUGACCCUGUAGAACUGUUGCCACUGCUAUGGUCACUGCUGCAACUACAAGCACUGCAUCUGGCAUGGGAGCUUGAUGGACCAGAGCACAUGCAAAGAGGGCAUCGGAAAUCCCAGAAGGGUAUGCGGGACCUUGUACCCUGUGGGAUUCCCAUGCUUACUUCAGGCAAACAGUAAGCCAGUAAGUGGAUGGCUGGCAGAGCUUCCCCCAGACUCUGAGGCUCUCAAACCCAUCUUUCGUGCAGAGAGAAUUGUGUGGUUAUCAUCCCCAGAACUCACCUGCUGAGUAAUUCGAUGCGAGUGAUUUGAUGUUCAGUCCCUCCUAGCAGGAGGCAGACCAGCAGGGAGUUACAGUUAACACUAACUGGGCAUGGCUAUUGAGGCAGGAGAGUAGGGUCUGGAGGCAGGGAACCUAAGGCUGAUUCGCGCCGAAUUCCUAGAACUGAAUCAAAAAGAAAAGCCCACCUCUCCACACCCAAAUAACAAAAGGAUCAGAGGCUACUCCCUUUGCAACCCCCCAACUUCCCCUGCAUUGCAGAUGAAAACUGAAAGUACCUCUGAUUGGUCCCCUCCUGCAACCAGUCAGGCUGGUCACAGGCCAAGUCUUCAUUUGCAGAGGAGUAUAACUUUGUAAGUUCACUUCAGCCUCUGAUUGGUCACUUUCUGCAAUCAAUCAGACAUUUGCAUAGGGUGUAACUUUGUAUCUUCACUUCAGCCUCUGAUUAGUUGCUUUCUGCAAUCAAUCAGACUGAUCGUGGGCCACUAUUUCAUUUACAUAGGGUGUAAACCAAGUAACCAAUGGAAAACCUCUAGAGGGUAUUUAAACCCCAGAAAAUUCUGUAACCAAAGCUCUUGAGCUGCUUGCUCGAGCCCCCUCCCACUCUGUGUCGCGUACUUUUGUUUCAAUAAAUCUGUGCUUUUCUUUU